rnacentral:tRNA from 1 species
UGACGUUUAGCUUAGAGGCAGAGCACUUGCCUAGAAUGCAUGAGGCCCUGGGUUCAAUCCCCAGCAUCAC